rnacentral:pre_miRNA from 1 species
AAUAAAUCAACUUUUCACUUUUUAUAUAUAAUUUUUGACUCUUCGUCUUAUUUAAUUUUUUUUCGAUUGAUAUUUUUGUUUUUAUUAGAUGAUAAAUCAUGAAUAGUACUGUACGUGUGACUAAUUUUUUUUUUAAUUUUCCGAAAAUUUUUUAAAUAAGACGAAUAGUCAAACAUUGAACACAAAAACCGGAG